rnacentral:rRNA from 1 species
GUAGUCCACGCCCUAAACGAUGCGAACUGGAUGUUGGGUGCAACUAGGCACUCAGUAUCGAAGCUAACGCGUUAAGUUCGCCGCCUGGGGAGUACGGUCGCAAGACUGAAACUCAAAGGAAUUGACGGGGGCCCGCACAAGCGGUGGAGUAUGUGGUUUAAUUCGAUGCAACGCGAAGAACCUUACCUGGCCUUGACAUGCACGGAACUUUCCAGAGAUGGAUUGGUGCCUUCGGGAACCGUGACACAGGUGCUGCAUGGCUGUCGUCAGCUCGUGUCGUGAGAUGUUGGGUUAAGUCCCGCAACGAGCGCAACCCUUGUCCUUAGUUGCCAGCACGUAAUGGUGGGAAC